GCAGCAGUGGGGAAUUUUCCGCAAUGGGCGAAAGCCUGACGGAGCAACGCCGCGUGAGGGACGAAGGCCUCUGGGCUGUAAACCUCUUUUCUCAAGGAAGAAGAUAUGACGGUACUUGAGGAAUAAGCCACGGCUAAUUCCGUGCCAGCAGCCGCGGUAAUACGGGAGUGGCAAGCGUUAUCCGGAAUUAUUGGGCGUAAAGCGUCCGCAGGCGGCUUUUCAAGUCUGCUGUUAAAGCGUGGAGCUUAACUCCAUCAUGGCAGUGGAAACUGAAAGGCUUGAGUAUGGUAGGGGCAGAGGGAAUUCCCGGUGUAGCGGUGAAAUGCGUAGAUAUCGGGAAGAACACCAGUGGCGAAGGCGCUCUGCUGGGCCAUUACUGACGCUCAUGGACGAAAGCCAGGGGAGCGAAAGGGAUUAGAUACCCCUGUAGUCCUGGCCGUAAACGAUGAACACUAGGUGUCGGGGGAAUCGACCCCUUCGGUGUCGUAGCUAACGCGUUAAGUGUUCCGCCUGGGGAGUACGCACGCAAGUGUGAAACUCAAAGGAAUUGACGGGGGCCCGCACAAGCGGUGGAGUAUGUGGUUUAAUUCGAUGCAACGCGAAGAACCUUACCAGGGUUUGACAUCCUGCGAACCUCUUAGAAAUUUGAGGGUGCCUUCGGGAAUGCAGUGACAGGUGGUGCAUGGCUGUCGUCAGCUCGUGUCGUGAGAUGUUGGGUUAAGUCCCGCAACGAGCGCAACCCACGUUUUUAGUUGCCAGCAUUUAGUUGGGCACUCUAGAAAGACCGCCGGUGAUAAACCGGAGGAAGGUGUGGAUGACGUCAAGUCAUCAUGCCCCUUACACCCUGGGCUACACACGUACUACAAUGCUACGGACAAAGGGC
rnacentral:rRNA from 1 species